rnacentral:rRNA from 1 species
AUUGAACGCUGGCGGCAGGCCUAACACAUGCAAGUCGAACGAGUGGCGGACGGGUGAGAAAUGUCUGGGAAACUGCCUGAUGGAGGGGGAUAACUACUGGAAACGGUAGCUAAUACCGCAUACCAUCGGAUGUGCCCAGAUGGGAUUAGCUAGUAGGUGGGGUAAAGGCUAACCUAGGCGAGGAUCCCUAGCUGGUCUGAGAGGAUGACCAGCCACACUGGAACUGAGCCACGGUCCAGACUCCUACGGGAGGCAGCAGUGGGGAAUAUUUCACAAUGGGCGCAAGCCUGAUGCAGCCAGGCCGCGUGUUUGAAGAAGGCCUUCGGGUUGUAAAGCUCUUUCAGCGGGGAGGCGUUACCCGCAGAAGAAGCACCGGCUAACUCCGUGCCAGCAGCCGCGGUAAUUC